rnacentral:rRNA from 1 species
CCUACGGGAGGCAGCAGUGAGGAAUAUUGGUCAAUGGGCGGGAGCCUGAACCAGCCAAGUCGCGUGAAGGAAGACGGCGCUAGGCGUCGUAAACUUCUUUUGUCGGGGAAUAAAGGGCGCCACGUGUGGCGUUGUGAGUGUACCCGAUGAAAAAGGAUCGGCUAACUCCGUGCCAGCAGCCGCGGUAAUACGGAGGAUGCGAGCGUUAUCCGGGUUUAUUGGGUUUAAAGGGGGCGUAGGGGGGUUGGAAAGCUAGGGGUGAAAGGUCCGGGCUCAACCCCGGACGUGCAGUUAAAACUGGCGGGCUAGAGACGGCGGGAAGUAGGCGGAAUUCGCGGUGUAGCGGUGAAAUGCAUAGAUAUCGCGCAGAACUCCGAUUGCGAAGGCAGCGUACCGGCGCGGGACUGACGCUGAUGCACGAAAGCGUGGGUAUCGAACAGGAUUAGAUACCCGAGUAGUC